AACGAACGCUGGCGGCGUGCCUAACACAUGCAAGUCGAGCGCGAAUGGGGGCAACCCCUAGUAGAGCGGCGAACGGGUGCGUAACACGUGGGUAAUCUGCCUCAAAGCCUGGGACAACCUGCCGAAAGGCUGGCUAAUACCGGAUAAGACCACGGGCUCUUCGGAGCCUGAGGGAAAAGGUGGCCUCUGCAUGCAAGCUAUCACUUUGAGAUGAGCCCGCGGCCCAUCAGCUAGUUGGUGAGGUAAAAGCUCACCAAGGCAACGACGGGUAGCUGGUCUGAGAGGACGAUCAGCCACACUGGAACUGAGACACGGUCCAGACUCCUACGGGAGGCAGCAGUGGGGAAUUGUUCGCAAUGGGCGCAAGCCUGACGACGCAACGCCGCGUGGAGGAUGAAGAUCUCCGGGUCGUAAACUCCUUUCGAUCGAGACGAAUGCCCUUGGGGUGAACAAUCCCGAGGGGUGACGGUACCGAGAGAAGAAGCCCCGGCUAACUCCGUGCCAGCCGCCGCAGUAACAC
rnacentral:rRNA from 1 species